UUAAAAGGAACAGAAACAGCCUCAAAAAAAAGAGUUAACAUGGAAGAAGGCAGCCCAGCCCACACCACCAAGCCCUAGGGAAACUUUAACAGAUUCCGGCAGGGCAUCGUCAGAUUCUGGCUACCAGGCUCCAAUUUUAAGGCGCUGGAGUGGGGCGAGCGGUACGAGAAUCGAGCACUGAAAAGAAAAAAAAAUUGAUGGGCAGUUUUUCAGGUCCUCUGCAGGCCAAGUGAGAGGUUUUUUAAGCGAAAGAUGAGAAAGAUAACCAGUGAGAUGAGGUAGAUGAGAGAAGGAAAAGGGCUUUUUUACUUUGGGACAGAAGAGGCGUGGCAAUGACAGAAGCGCCUGACUUUUUUUAUUUUUCCCAUCGUUUGAAAAGGCUAUAUUGCUCACAAAAGCGGUAAAAGGACAUUAGCGGUCAUAAAAUAUUCAUAAGUGAUUCUAA
rnacentral:lncRNA from 1 species